GCCCGGCUAAUUUUUGUAAUUUUAGUAGAGACGGGGUCGCCCAGUGAUACUCAGGUUGGUCUUUAACUCUUGGGCUCAAGAGACGCACCCACCUCGGUCUUCCAAAGUGCUGGGAUUACAGGCUUGAACUACCAUUGCCAGCCUGAGCUGGUUACAUUCUAAGGACUCUUUGUGAGACUAAUUAAAACAUUUUUCUUUCCAAGGCACAUGGCAGGUGGUGCUGUUUCUUUCCUGCAGGAUGUUUGCUGAGCAUUUGUGAGGGGAGCAUCUUUAGGGAAAGCAGGACAAGCCCUAAAAGGCUUUCUCUGAAUAUUACCUUUGCUCUUCACUUUGGUAGGUCCUGAAGGCAUAGAAAGGGGUCCUCUGGAGAACACAAACUGAGCAUUGCUGGGCCUCAGGGGCCUCCAGUGAUGCUGGAGGCAGCCACUGCUGUCCUUCAGCUGCGAGGAGCAAGGAGGGUGAUUCCAGCUUUCUCCUGGUUGAUUUUGCCCUCUUUUAAAAAAUAGGAAGUUUGCAAGAUUUCUUGAAAGAACUCUAGUUGGAGUUGUAAAACUAAUGUUUUUUCCUCUGGUCCCUGCCACCCACUGGAAGGGGACUGCAGGGAAGUGUCAUCUGCAUGGCUGUUUAAUACCUUGUAACUCUGGUUGUACUACUCUGGACAGGGCUUCUGAGAACCACCUGCAGUUCUGCUUAUUGCUGGUGUUGAGAUUCAGUUUUUGCAGGAAGGAGAGACAUUGGCGCCAAGAAAUUCUAUCAGGGGACGUUUAAUAACUGGAAAGAGCUUAGGAAGCCAGGUUUGGAGAGCCAGAUGCCUUGGUGUCCUUAUAAUGCAAGUGGGAUUGCAUUGUGUGUCAAGGCUUGGCAUUGUCGGAGGUCAAGAAGACUAACUGAGUCAAGCAGAGCCAUUGGCUGCUAGAGUACGGUG